rnacentral:rRNA from 1 species
AUACGGAGGGGACUAGCGUUGUUCGGAAUUACUGGGCGUAAAGGGUGCGUAGGCGGCUUGAUAAGUCGGAUGUGAAAGCCCCGGGCUUAACCUGGGAAUUGCAUUCGAUACUGUCAGGCUAGAGUAUGUCAGAGGUUGGCGGAAUUCCUGGUGUAGCGGUGAAAUGCGUAGAUAUCAGGAGGAACACCAGUGGCGAAGGCGGCUAACUGGGACAAUACUGACGCUGAGGCACGAAAGCGUGGGGAGCAAACAGGAUUAGAUACCCCAGUAGUCC